rnacentral:lncRNA from 1 species
CACAGGUGAAAGAGUUUGAGUGCACAGGUGUGCGUGCGUGUGAGCGUGCGUGCGUGCGUGCGAGAAGGUCAGAGUGCGCCGCGUGUCCGUAAGUGAAAGUGCGCGUUUUUGUGUUCAGAUGGAGGACGCCCCCAGCUCCCAGAAGAGCGGGCGACUUUCUUCCUCUCACGACUUGGGGAGAGGAGGAGGAGGACCGUUUCCGACGUGGACAGGUUUCGACGUCUUAGGGGUGAGAGCAGCUGUUUUCACAAUGUUGCCUGUUGAAGAAUCCAGGCCCGUUGUCUCAUGGAAGGUCCACGUCCAGGAUCUGCCUGUGUUUCCUUACAAUGUCAUUGAACUUGUUCCUCUGGCCCCUGUAUUGCCUAUAAACUUGAAGGUAGGCCUGGCGACUUGAUUAGAUACUUCUUAGCCCAUCUGGGGGAGACUAACCCAUGGGCAGGGCUCCCUUGGUGCUGACCUGGAGGCCCUCAGGAGGUUGCCCACCACAGUCCCAUGUCAUGCUGAGUUGCUGACAGCUGGGUCUCCUCAUUGUAAGGGGUCAGUUUCCUUGAAGGGAAAUGUUUGUCCUGUCCUGUCUCUCCCUCUUUUUUUUUUUUUGGUCUUUCUGUCUUUUUAGGGCUGCACCCGUGGCAUAUGGAUGUUCCCAGGCUAGGGGUCUAAUCGGAGCUACAGCUGCCAGCCUACACCACAGCCACAGCAAAACCAGAUCUGAGCCAUGUCUGCAACCAACACCACAGCUGGCGGCAAUGCUGGAUCCUUAACCCACUGAGCAAGGCCAGGGAUCAAACCUGCAACCUCAUGGUUCCUAGUCGGAUUCAUUUAUGCUGCACCACAACAGGAACUCUUGUCCUGUCUCUUGUAUUAAGAGAGCUGGGGCCCAGCAGGAGCUUCCAACUUAGGAUCCCAGCAUGCCUGACAGGACCAGAGGGUCAGGGCUCUGUGUGACAACUGCCCAAAGAUACCCCAGCAGGGACAAGUAGAGGCUGAAACCCAGCCGUGUGACAAUCUCCAAGCUGGUGCCGGGUUCAAGGCUGGCUUGGUCCAGGUAGGGCCAGAAUGGGAUGGAAUGUCCUGUCAACUGUGGGUGGUACCACUGGUUCUGACACCGUGGGGUGUCCUGAGUCCCUACACCCCACUAGACAAGCCUCUUACACCAUCCGGUGGACUCACUACCACCUUGAGUAUCUGCUUGAAAGGUGGGUGCCUUCUUCUGGGAUGGAGCAGAGGGGCAGGCAGCAGGGAGUCAGGAUUCACUACCAUUCCAGAUCACCCCCUGAUUUCUCGGAGUCUCCUGCACGGAUGCACACAGACCAGGGCAGGAUGA